AUACCACUACUUUUAACGUU
rnacentral:snRNA from 1 species